rnacentral:rRNA from 1 species
GAGUACAAGGUUUCCGUAGGUGAACUGCGGAGGAUCAUUG